AUGGAAAUGAUGCUGAAGCCAGUGAUUUCUACUUAUUGCAAGAGUUACAUUGGAUAUCAGUGCCUUCUAAAUUUUAAUGACCUGGGCCAAAGCCCUGGUUGCCCCACCUUGGAGCCCAACAUAACAGAGGUUCACAGAGAAGAGAUUCAUGGGAGAAACAGUGUUAUAGAGGGAAGAAAACUGGGCCAGGAAUCGGGAGACUCGAGAUCUCUUCCUGGCUCUGCCACUCACCAGUUAGGUGAUCUUGGGAUGGUCUUUUUUUAUGUCUCCGGCUCUCAUUCAGUUCAUGAUUCUGUCAAAGGAGAUCUUAAAGACUUCUUCUAGUUCUAAAACGUUUAUUGCACAAAGAGGAAACAGAUUGACUUGUGUUUUAAGAGGUGGGGAGGGAGUCAGACCAGAAACGGAGUUUGUAGGCUCUGAAAUCAGAAUGUCAGCGCUGGAAGGAGCCUUGGGGACGGUGUAGCCCAGGCGUGUGCUGGAGGCAGCCUGGACCAGCUCAAAAGGGCCCAUUGUAAAAUUUUCAGCCUAUCUCAUUAUACCUCAGAAAUCCACAACUGCUACAAACCAGGGCCUGAUUUAUUGCUUGGUUGAUUGCUUAGACUUUAAAAAGUUUCAGUGAUGCCGAUUCAAGCUAAAAGUGUGUGUCUCUAUCUCUCCUUGUUUUUAAAAUAUGUUUUUAAUGAACAUUUUCUUUUUAUAUAUAUAUAUAUAUAUUAGGGUUAUCUUUCCCCGUCUGCCUCCCAGAAAGCUAUCCCAUACAACAAAUAGUAGUUUUUAAGAGGAAAAAACCGAUAGAACUACUCUCCCCCUCCCCAAACGCACAUGUUAAACAUUUACUAGCACACUCCUUCGUGGCUCUAAAAACAAUGUUUAAGGUUAGAAGGCUCAGAGAGUGGAAUCAUCGCCAGAUUGGAGGCCAAUAAGAAUAACAACAAGGAUCCGGGGCACUAAUGUUUCACCUUGAGGUUUGCCAAGUGCUUUACAUCCAUGACCUCAUUUGAGACCAACAGCAGCCCCGACCCAGUCCCACUCUCCCAUCCUGCAGGACAGGGAAAUAACUUGGCUAAGGCCAUGGAGAAUGGGAACCAAGCACUUCCUACUCCAAAGCCAGCAUAUUUUUCACUUGUCAAUCUCAGGUCUUUAAACGUUUUCUAAGUGAGGUUCCUGCUUGUCUUGGAAGGAGGCUGAGAGACGGAUGGAUUUCGGGAAGACCAUUUCAUCCGCAGAGACCUGAGAUGAGCGAUUUCUUCGGCUACAUCUUUCUCCUCCUGUUCUUUGUGACAGGAUGACUCCUGGCCUCCCUGUCUUGUCUCUGGCAGUGGGCCACGGGAGCAUUGGCUGAGAUGCAUACAGAAGGGGGUAGGGAACAUCCAGGGACUUGGGGAAGCAGCCAAGAGAGCCAUUUCCCAGAGGAGGACAGGAUCUGUCCGGGAAGUGAGGCGCACCAUCGGUCCAGCUCAGGGUUAGAGGGAAAAGGCAGGACGAAGGGUCAGAGAGCAGCAGACAGAUGCAAGAGAUCAGGCCUCUAAUUUGCUAGAGUACCAUUCUUCUUCCCUGUCAAAAGCCUCUCUGCCCAGAGCGGACAGAUGAGCCAAGGUGGAGUCUUGAAAGGGGGAGGAAGGCUUCAAGAGGAGGGGUCUGUUCUCUCUCUCUCUCCUCCUCACUGGCCUUUGAGAUGGGGUUUUUCUUUCUUUCCUGCUUGGUCUCCCAGGGCCUUCUGGUCCAUUGUUAGUCAGAAGACCUCAUGGGGCUGACUUCAGAUGGAGGGAAGUGUUUGUGUGUUUGGGGGAAGGGGGAAAUCCAUGAACCAAGAACCUAUUUGGCUAAUGAAGUCGUAAUUACUCCCAGGCUCACUAAUAGGAUGAAAGGAGUGGGUUCAGUUAAAAGCCCCUGAUGGGCCCAGAGAGAGACUGACAGACAGCUUUCCCAGAGAUCUGCCUGGAGAAUUAGAAAUGGAAAGUGUGUGUUUGGGGAGGGGGGGUAGUUAAUGGGCAGCCUCAUCCUGAGGGCCCCUCUACCUCUGAGGAUUGGGCUUGUGCCCAUUACAGGCUUUGGGGAGGCCUGGGUUCUUGGGCCCUACCCUUCCUAACCUUCAUCCAUUCCAUCCACUAUUCCCAGUACUGUUGACUCUCAAUUAUCCACACUAAUGGAGGAGAACAGUGCUAGAGAAAGUCCAAAGCAAUUGGAAAUUCCCAAACCAUUUGGUCUCAAAAUGAAUUUAAAUUAUUUUGGGGGGGAGGGUGGCAAAAGCUGCAAUCUUGCAGAAUUGAGUUUGUUUUUACGUUAUGUCCAAAUGAAUCCAUAAUUCCCAAGCAAGCAGUAGUUGAUCAAGAAUGGAAAGGGACUCUGGAGCAAAUGCUGGGAAAGGGAAAGGGUUAGGGAUUCAACCUUUGCAGGUGAUUUCAUUCAAUUCCAUUUAUUGGUGCCAGGCACCAGGAAUACAAAGACCACAAUGACCCUGUCCUCAGGAGGUUUAUAGUCCACUAUGUCAGAUACAACAUGUAUCGGACAACAGAUUGGAAUCACGCAGAUUCUGUCCAACGGACUUUGUUGUUAGUCACUUGCUUUGUGCUAGACCCUGGCGACACAAAGAACCCCAAAGAGUCCUCCUCAUCCUCCAAGACAUACUACUGAGGAGGCACAGCAUGGAUACAGAAAAGUCAAUACAAAAUAAUGCUCAUAAUAACCAGCAAUUGGGGGAGACCAGGGGAGACCUCCUGUAGGAAGAGAAGCUUGAGUGAUAUCUUUCUGUGAGCAAGAGAUGACAAGAGGAAGAAGUGAAGUGAAGAAGGAGGGAAUGGAUCCCAGGUGCUGAUUCUAAGAUGGAAGGUAAGAGUUAAAAAAAUAAAAAGGCAAUGAGGACAGCUAAGCUUCA
rnacentral:lncRNA from 1 species